ACUCAAAGGAAUUGACGGGGGCCCGCACAAGCAGCGGAGCGUGUGGUUUAAUUCGAAGCAACGCGAAGAACCUUACCAAGACUUGACAUCGACUGACGUACUAGGAAACUAGUAUUUCCAUAGCAAUAUGGACAGGAAGACAGGUGGUGCAUGGUUGUCGUCAGCUCGUGUCGUGAGAUGUUGGGUUAAGUCCCAUAACGAGCGCAACCCUUGUAUUUAGUUGCUACCAGUAAGAUGAGCACUUUAAAUAGACUGCCACAGAUAAUGUGGAGGAAGGUGGGGAUGACGUCAAAUCAUCACGCCCCUUAUGUCUUGGGCUACACACGCGCUACAAUGGCUAUUACAAAGAGAAGCAAGAUAGCAAUAUGGAGCAAAUCUCAAAAAGAUAGUCUCAGUUCGGAUUGUGGGCUGAAAUUCGCCCACAUGAAGUCGGAGUUGCUAGUAAUCCCAAAUCAGAAUGUUGGGGUGAAUGCGUUCCCGGGCCUUGUACACACCGCCCGU
rnacentral:rRNA from 1 species